GAAAACAAAGUGUUGGGCAAUUUUACAGUUACUGAAUAAAAAAGAUUGAAAUUUCACAAGUUGACAGGGUCUCAGCCAAUGUACAGCUACGGUAGUUUAUAGCUGCAAAAACAUUAUUAAACAGAUAACAUAAGAAAAAAGAUGUACAGCAUCUGAGAGAACAAUAUGAGCUCAGCUCAGGUCCGCUUGACAGGGUCGAAGUUGGACACGCCAAUCACAGCUCCAACAAUGGCGACCAGAACCACACCCCCAGCUACUAUGCUGAGCAAGAAGUUCUUGAGAGAUGGGGUGACUCCAUCAGCCGCUUGAGCCACCUCUGGAAUCAUCAUCGAUGUCGUCAGCGCUGUUGCUGUCAACCCCGUCACCGCCUUUUCCUUGAACGAAGAAGCACCAGCCUUGACUUGGAGCUUUCCGUUGGGUCUUUUAACACCGCCCGUUGCCCUCCAUGGCUUUACCGGAAGUGGCUUAAAGAAUGCCUCAGAGCUUGGCAUCCUGUUUUGGGUAGCUCCAGCUAAGGGCAGAGCCAUUGAAGCAGCUGAAGUGGAAGCCAUUGGUUCUUUUUUUCUUUUUUACUUGCUCUCUUCAGUCUUCACACCGUAAGUCUAAAUCCCCCAAAAAAAUCGUCCUCCUUUUGUUUUUGCUGCAAAUGUGUUUUUUUUAGAGGAGGGAUAAGGGAACAAGAAAUGAGAGGUGGGAAAUUGAGAUUUUCUGGUGCCACGUGGCAUUCACAAAUCUAUCUGUCUUACGUGGCAGCUUCUCAAGUUAGAAUUGGUGGAUAAGGCUAUCUUCCAUUGAGGUUGAAAUUUGGGUGGGAUAACUUUUAUUGAUUGGCUAAUGGCCAUUGAGUGGCACCCUAAAUGGCCGAAACACUGAUUUCUUCUGGACUUGUGUGGUUCUUAAGCUAUUUGGGUUCAUUUUGGACCCAAUAGCAACUUUAUCAAAUACUAUUUUUAUUAGGCUAAUGUUAGACUUAAAACAUUAAUAUGAGAAAACUGACAUGUUAGGCUAAUAUCUACAUGUUGAUCUUUUUCGGAAAUAAUCUGGGUUCGAAUCAUCGUUGUACUAAAGAAAAUUAGAAGACGAAAUGAUAUUAGUAUAAGGUUUGUGGAUAAGUUUAAAUUAGGUUUCUCCUCUAUUUAAUAAAGUUAACAUUUAUUAUUUAACAAAGUAAAUAUCUUUAAAGCAUUUAUGAUUUUGCAAAUAAAAUGUUUUUUUGGAGCUAAACUGCAAAUAGAAAAAUGAUUUUCAUGUAAUUCUUUAAACAAUAAAUGUUAACUUUGUUUAAAUCUAACUUUUUUUAUCAAAACAUUAUUUAAAUUUCUUCGAUUAAUAGUAGAAUGACCAAUUUGAAUUGAUCCCUAUAGUAAAAGGGUUUACUUGUUAUUUUCACCAAAUCUAAUAAAAUCCUACUAUUCAUUUUCUUAAAAUAUUAUAUUAACAUUUGCACUUUACCAAUUUAUGUACCAUGCAGUAAUCAUGAAGUGUGAUAUGGUAGUUGCUCACCUCAUCCUUUAAUCAUAUGGUUGGGGUUCAAUCCUUGUUCAUAGUAAUAGAGCAUAUUUUAUGACUAGCCAUUUAUCUUUUUAGAGAGUACAUACAACGAGGAGAUUAAUCACUUCUAUCAACGGUGAAUACCCUAAUUACAACCUAAAAAAAAGUACCAUGGAUAUCCAAUUUCGACAAUAGAUUUAAUAGGGAUUUUUUUUAUUCCGUGAACUUUUAGUUCUCCAAAUUGCUUUUGAUUCAAUAAUGAAAGAAAUGUGUUGUCCAUAUGAAAUGUGUUGGUUUGGUUACCUUGCAGAAUAUGUGGGUACUAAUGGACAUGUACAAAUACAGUUGGUUAUGAUAAAUAAGAUUUUGAUAGUUUCGAUUUAAGGUUUAAGUUUUUGGUCAUAGAUUUGAAUAUAUAGUUUUGGCAUGUUUAGCUCGGUGUGUUCCAUAAGUAUCUAAUAAAAUUUUUCAAUACGCGCGAAAGACAAAACACAAUAAGUCAAUUGAAGAAUGAUGAAUAAAUGAUAACUCUCAUAUUUAGAGUUACUUUAAUAUAGUUUUCAUAGUAUUUUAGGAGGUAAUUUUAGCAUUCAUGUUAGUUUACAUUAUAUUUUAUUUUAAUUUUGUUCAAUUUUGAUCAUUUUCAAAGUUGGUUCGAGUUUACUUGCUAUUUUUUUUUCUCAAUUAUAGGCAACGAAUGAAGAAGUUAAGACUUGAAGCAUAGAGAAAAAAGUGGUAAAAGAAGCCUUCUGCUCUACCAGAUUUAAUUCAGUGUGGUGGAAUAAGCUCUUCAAUUUAGAAAUUUUGACAAUAAGUAGUUCGUUCCAUUGCAACUUCUGCGUACAAUGGAGUGAUGCGAGUAUGAACCCUAAAAACAGGGAUAGCAAAAUUUAAAAAGAACAAAAGAAGAGGAAAAGAGGAAUAAAUCACUUGGGAGCUAAAGAAAUGCUCUCUCGCACCAAGGAAAAUUUCAAACUUGCAUUGAUAAGAAAAAAAAAAUUCCGAAGAGCUCACCAUAAAUUAUUUAACCAUUUUCUCUCUUAAUUAUUUUCUUUUUACUUUUUAUGAGGAUAAUAAUAUAAAUUGUUGAGGGCCAAACUGAAAUUUUUUAUUCAAAAAAAUUAAUUUGUAAUACUAAAUAGUAAGUGAACUUAAACUGCAAUAUGCCCAUUUUAUCCAAGAGGGCCCAAGGCCCUUACUUAUCCCCACUGUUUUUUUGUUGAUGUAAGUUUGUCGUGGAUAUCUUUUUGUUAUUUUCUCAACUCAAUAUGAAUUAAAUUCUAUCUUUUUAAUAAUGAAGGAUCCUAUUUCUUAGUUAACUAAUUUAUUUUCUCUUCAAUGUUUCGAUCCUUGAAUUAUUUAUUCAACCUUGUGCUUAUUUAUUUUGCUUACCCAAUCAACAAGUUGUAUUAAUUUUGAUAACCUUGAUUUAUUUUUAAAAAAAAGAGUUAGAGUUGAGAUCUAAACUGAAUAGAUUAGGAUUAACUUAAGUAAUACUGAUAAACAAGUUAAUUUGCAAUUUGGGUAGGAAUAUACCUAAUGCCCUAAUCAACUCAAUAAGUUUAUUCUUAGUGACUUCACCCAAUUUGCCUAAUAUAAGAACAUAGCUAGUGGGGAAGGGUGUUUAACUUAGCUAGAUACUAGAAGAGUUUAGUUACUGCCAUUGAAUCCUAGAUUAAUAAUUACACAGUUUGAACAAUUGAAUAAGGGAUAAUUGAUUAACCUGAUUAGGUGAAGUUAAAGUUCCAAGUCUAUAAAAUUGGUUGACAAACUUCGAAAGUUUUCAUUGCUUUAGUUUAGUAAAGUUUUUAUAGUUUGAUUAGUUUAAUUUUAGUAGAAUCGAUAAUUUAUUUUUAUUUAUAUGCAUUAGAUAAAACCAAUUUGUUAGUACUCAACAACUUAAAAUUUGACCCUAGUGAGAAUGAUAUCUUUUUUAUCACUUUAUUAUUUGAUUAACACGUUCACUUAUGUUACAAAUUUCGAUCAUCAAUAAACUACAUGAUUAUAUCAAAAUUAUGCAUUGUUAUUGUUAUGUAUCAAAAAACAUACACUUGAAAUUUGACCAGUGAUGCUUAUUUUAAUUGUUAUAUUGCAACAUUUAAUAAGCCGCAAUUAAUCUAAAAUAAUAUAUGUUAUUAAUAAAUAAUUAAUAUAUUUAAUUAUAUAGUUUAAAACGAAUAAAAAAAUUACUAUACAGAAAUAUGAUUAAUAUAAUUUUAUUUGUUAUUAAUAAUUAAAUAAUAUUACUUAUUAUUAAUCUGUUGGAUCCAAUUUCAACUCAAUUAUAUGGUUUAAACGAAUAAAUAUUCUAUUUAAAAAAAUAUUUUUAAUUUUUAAUAUAAUAUAAUGAAAAAUAAAAUAUAAUCAUUUAUAAAGAUACCAAAAUUUUAUAUUCGUUCGAAUGAGUAUUAGAAAAUCGAAUAGCCCUCCAACUCUAUAAAAAAAAUAAUUUGAAUUUUUCAUUUAAUUUUUCAUCUCCUUUGUUUCUUAAAUUUAUAAUGUUUGUUUAGUCGUUCCAAAAUGGAUUAAAAAGUUAACGCUAAGUAGAUACCACGUCAAUAAUUAAUUAAUUUUUAAAAUUUGAAAAAUUCAAAAAAAAAAUUAAAACUAUUUUAAAAAUUAUUAAAAGAUACAAAUUUAAAAGUGUAUUUUUUAAUAUUUGUUUAUUUUAAAAAUUAUUUAAUUACUAAAUGAAAUACAUAAGGAAAAAAUCUAAAUGCUAAAAACCGAAAAUUAAAAUAAUUUUUUAUAUAAAAUUGAAAAGUAAAAUAGAUUAUUAUGUCUUAGUCACGAUGGAUUUACUCUUCAAUUUUUUUUUUCCUUUUCUGAAUUACAUGUGUAGGAUCCAAUGCAUGUUCAUGAUAUCUAAACAUAAAUACGAAGAUACGAUCGCAGGUUAUACUCUCAAAUUGUUCGAAUCAUAUAUUAAACUCGAAUUCAGCUCCAUCCAUUGUUGAAAUGAAAUUAAAUUCGUGUUUUAAAAUCCAACUUGAGUAAGAUUUAAUUAAGUUUCUCAUUUACCCCACCCCCCCCCCCCCUCCAACCCCCCAAGGGUCCAAAUUAGCGUAAAUUGGAAAGAAAUUUCAGAAGCUGAAAGGAUCUCAACCAAAAUACAGCUACGGCAGUUUAUAACUGGAAAACAUUCUUAAACAGAUAACAUUAAAAGAAAAAUGUACAGCAUGAGAGAGAAUUAUAUGAACUCAGAUCAGGUCCGCUUGACAGGGUCGAAGUUGGACACACCAAUUACAGCUCCAACAAGGGCGACCAGAACCACACCACCAGCCGCUAUGCUGAGCAAGAAGUUCUUGAGAGAUGGGGUGACUCCAUCAGCUGCUUGAGCCACCUCUGGGAUCAUCAUCGAUGUCGUCAGCGCCGCUGCUGUCAACCCUGUCACCACCUUUUCCUUGAACGAAGAAGAAGCAGCCUUGACUUGGAGCCGUCCGUUGGGUCUUUUAACAGCGCCC
rnacentral:lncRNA from 1 species